rnacentral:rRNA from 1 species
GUGUCAGCAGCCGCGGUAAUACGUAGGGGGCGAGCGUUGUCCGGAAUUAUUGGGCGUAAAGGGCGCGCAGGCGGUUUUUUAAGUCUGAUGUGAAAUCUCGUGGCUUAACCACGAGCGGUCAUUGGAAACUGAAAGACUUGAGGACAGAAGAGGAGAGUGGAAUUCCACGUGUAGCGGUGAAAUGCGUAGAUAUGUGGAGGAACACCAGUGGCGAAGGCGACUCUCUGGUCUGUAACUGACGCUGAGGCGCGAAAGCGUGGGGAGCGAACAGGAUUAGAUACCCUGGUAGUCCACGCCGUAAACGAUGAGUGCUAGGUGUUAGGGGGUUUCCGCCCCUUAGUGCUGCAGUUAACGCAUUAAGCACUCCGCCUGGGGAGUACGGCCGCAAGGCUGAA